UAAAGGGAGCGUAGGCUGGAGAUUAAGUGUGUUGUGAAAUGUAGACGCUCAACGUCUGACUUGCAGCGCAUACUGGUUUCCUUGAGUACGCACAACGUUGGCGGAAUUCGUCGUGUAGCGGUGAAAUGCUUAGAUAUGACGAAGAACUCCGAUUGCGAAGGCAGCUGACGGGAGCGCAACUGACGCUGAAGCUCGAAGGUGCGGGUAUCGAACAGGAUUAGAUACCCUGGUAGUCCGCACAGUAAACGAUGGAUGCCCGCUGUUGGUACCUGGUAUCAGCGGCUAAGCGAAAGCAUUAAGCAUCCCACCUGGGGAGUACGCCGGCAACGGUGAAACUCAAAGGAAUUGACGGGGGCCCGCACAAGCGGAGGAACAUGUGGUUUAAUUCGAUGAUACGCGAGGAACCUUACCCGGGCUUGAAUUGCAGAGGAAGGAUUUAGAGAUAA
rnacentral:rRNA from 1 species